UACGAAGGGGGCUAGCGUUGCUCGGAAUCACUGGGCGUAAAGCGCACGUAGGCGGCUUUUUAAAGUCAGGGGUGAAAUCCUGGAGCUCAACUCCAGAACUGCCUUUGAUACUGAGAGCUUGAGUCCGGGAGAGGUGAGUGGAACUGCGAGUGUAGGAGGUGAAAUUCGUAGAUAUUCGCAAGAACACCAGUGGCGAAGGCGGCUCACUGGCCCGGUACUGACGCUGAGGUGCGAAAGCGAUGGGGAGCAAACAGGGGAUUAAUGACCCUAGUACGUC
rnacentral:rRNA from 1 species